ACAUGCUCAUACUUUUAAUGUUCAUACUUUUCUGUUGGCCAACAUUUCUAGAAAUCCUUUGUUUGUAUCGGUCUUAAGUAAUAUUCUAAUAUUCCUUUCAACAAU